rnacentral:rRNA from 1 species
CCAAUUGUUGCCUCGGCGGAUCAGCCCGCUCCCGGUAAAACGGGACGGCCCGCCAGAGGACCCCUAAACUCUGUUUCUAUAUGUAACUUCUGAGUAAAACCAUAAAUAAAUCAAAACUUUCAACAACGGAUCUCUUGGUUCUGGCAUCGAUGAAGAACGCAGCAAAAUGCGAUAAGUAAUGUGAAUUGCAGAAUUCAGUGAAUCAUCGAAUCUUUGAACGCACAUUGCGCCCGCCAGUAUUCUGGCGGGCAUGCCUGUUCGAGCGUCAUUUCAACCCUCAAGCCCUCGGGUUUGGUGUUGGGGAUCGGCGAGCCCUUGCGGCAAGCCGGCCCCGAAAUCUAGUGGCGGUCUCGCUGCAGCUUCCAUUGCGUAGUAGUAAAACCCUCGCAACUGGUACGCGGCGCGGCCAAGCCGUUAAACCCCCAACUUCUGAAUGUUGACCUCGGAUCAGGUAGGAAUACCCGCUGAACUUAAGCAUAU